rnacentral:rRNA from 1 species
AGAACGAACGCUGGCGGCAUGCCUAACACAUGCAAGUCGAACGAGACCUUCGGGUCUAGUGGCGCACGGGUGCGUAACGCGUGGGAAUCUGCCCCUCGGUUCGGAACAACAGUUAGAAAUGACUGCUAAUACCGGAUAAUGACGAAAGUCCAAGAUUUAUCGCCGAGGGAUGAGCCCGCGUAGGAUUAGCUUGCUGGUGGGGUAAUUGGCCCACCAAGGCGACGAUCCUUAGCUGGUCUGAGAGGAUGAUCAGCCACACUGGGACUGAGACACGGCCCAGACUCCUACGGGAGGCAGCAGUGGGGAAUAUUGGACAAUGGGCGAAAGCCUGAUCCAGCAAUGCCGCGUGAGUGAUGAAGGCCUUAGGGUUGUAAAGCUCUUUACCAGGGAUGAUAAUGACAGUACCUGGAGAAUAAGCUCCGGCUAACUCCGUG